rnacentral:rRNA from 1 species
ACUCCUACGGGAGGCAGCAGUAGGGAAUUUUUCGCAAUGGACGCAAGUCUGACGAAGCAAUGCCGCGUGAGGGAUGAAGGUUUUCGGAUUGUAAACCUCUGUUAUAAGGGAGAAACCUGAUAUAGGAAAUGAUAUCAGCUUGACGGUACCUUAUCAGAAAGGGACGGCUAACUACGUGCCAGCAGCCGCGGUAAUACGUAGGUCCCGAGCGUUAUCCGGAAUUAUUGGGCGUAAAGAGCAUGUAGGCGGUUUAUUAAGUCUGGUGUGAAAGCUAGUGGCUCAACCACUAAAUUGCAUUGGAUACUGGUAAAACUAGAAUACUGGAGGGGCAAGUGGAAUUCCAUGUGUAGCGGUGGAAUGCGUAGAUAUAUGGAGGAACACCAAUGGCGAAGGCAGCUUGCUGGACAGUAAUUGACGCUGAGAUGCGAAAAGCGUGGGUAGCAAACAGGAUUAGAUACCCUGGUAGGAUAGCGU